GAAAUGCGAUAAUUAAUGUGAAUUGCAGAAUUCAGUGAAUCAUCGAGUCUUUGAACGCACAUUGCGCCCCCUGGUAUUCCGGGGGGCAUGCCUGUCCGAGCGUCAUUGCUGCCCUCAAGCACGGCUUGUGUGUUGGGCUUCCGUCCCUGGCAACGGGGACGGGCCCAAAAGGCAGUGGCGGCACCAUGUCUGGUCCUCGAGCGUAUGGGGCUUUGUCACCCGCUCCCGUAGGUCCAGCUGGCAGCUAGCCUCGCAACCAAUCUUUUUAACCAGGUUGACCUCGGAUCACGUAGGGAUACCCGCUGAACUUAAGC
rnacentral:misc_RNA from 1 species